GGAAGCACGCGGCUCACUGGUGGGGCCCUCGGACUUCAAAUCCGAUGUGGGGAGUUAAUACCUUCCCGGGUAGGUUCGAUUCCUAUGUGCUUCCGCCA
rnacentral:tRNA from 1 species